AGAGUUUGAUCCUGGCUCAGGAUGAACGCUAGCGGCGUGCCUAAUGCAUGCAAGUCGAACGGUAGCUUGGGACUUCGGUCUCAGGUGAGAGUGGCGGACGGGUGCGUAACACGUUGGUGACCUGCCCUGGAGAGGGGGAUAACGCGGCGAAAGCCGUGCUAAAACCCCGGAUGUCGCCCUUGUUAGAGAGGGGUGACUGAAGACGGCUGAUGGGAAACCAUCAGCGACAGUGCGUGCUCUAGGAGGGGCCUGCGGCCCAUCAGCUAGUUGGUAGGGUAACGGCCUACCAAGGCAAAGACGGGUAGGGGGCGUGAGAGCGCGACCCCCCACACUGGUACUGAAACACGGACCAGAUACCUGCGGGUAGCAGCAGCAAGGAAUAUUGCGCAAUGGACGAAAGUCUGACGCAGCAACGCCGCGUGGAGGACGAAGGUCUUCGGAUUGUAAACUCCUUUUCUGGGGGAAGAACAGGUAGGUUUCGGCCUGCCCUUGACGGUACCCCAAGAAUAAGGCCCGGCUAACUACGUGCCAGCAGCCGCGGUAAAACGUAGGGGCCAAGCGUUAUCCGGAAUUACUGGGCGUAAAGCGCGUGCAGGCGGUUCUGAAAGUCGGACGUGAAAGCUCCCGGCCCAACUGGGAGAGGCCGUUCGAAACUGUAGAACUAGAGGAUGGUAGAGGCAAGUGGAAUUCCCGGUGUAGUGGUGAAAUGCGUAGAUAUCGGGAGGAACACCAGCGGCGAAGGCGGCUUGCUGGGCCAUCACUGACGCUCAGACGCGAAAGCCAGGGGAGAGAACGGGAUUAGAAACCCCGGUAUUCCUGGCUGUAAACGAUGUCAACUAGGUGUAGGGGGUAACCAACCCCUCUGUGCUGCCGCAAACGCAAUAAGUUGACCGCCUGGGGAGUACGGCCGCAAGGCUAAAACUCAAAGGAAUUGACGGGGGCCCGCACAAGCAGCGGAGCGUGUGGUUUAAUUCGAGGCUACGCGAAGAACCUUACCAGGGUUUGACAUGAUGGUGGUAGGCGCCGUGAAAGCGGGCCGACUCUUCGGAGAGCCAUCACAGGUGCUGCAUGGCUGUCGUCAGCUCGUGCCGUGAGGUGUUAGGUUAAGUCCUGUAACGAGCGCAACCCACGUCGUUAGUUAUACGUGUCUAGCGAGACUGCCGGUGAUAAGCCGGAGGAAGGUGUGGAUGACGUCAAGUCAGCAUGGCCUUUAUAUCCUGGGCUACACACACGCUACAAUGGCCGGUACAAUGGGCAGCGAAGCCGCGAGGUGGAGCCAAUCCCCCAAAGCCGGUCUCAGUUCGGAUUGUAGGCUGCAACUCGCCUGCAUGAAGUCGGAGUUGCUAGUAACCGCAGGUCAGCAACACUGCGGUGAAUACGUUCCCGGGCCUUGUACACACCGCCCGUCACGUCAUGGAAGUUGGCAACGCCUGAAGUCGGUGGGCUAACCCGCAAGGGAAGCAACCGCCUAAGGCGGGGUCGGUAACUGGGACGAAGUCGUAACAAGGUAGCUGUAGCGGAAGCUGCGGCUGGAUCACCUCCUU
rnacentral:rRNA from 1 species